GAUCCAGGGCUUCUCUGUUAAUUUCUCUGGUUACGUACACUGAGGGUUUACUCAUUUUUGAAUACUGUCGGUACCGAUUUAUAGUAUUGUUGAUGAUCAGCUGGCGGUGUUCAUUCAAACUGAAAUAUUCUUUAUGGGGGAAAUUCAGGAGAAGAAGAUUGUCUUGUUACAUUUACAGAAAUAUUUAUUUUUGUGUUUUAUUUACCUAUCACUUACAUAACUUUAUCAUAUUGAGCGAAAUUCAAAUAAUUAUUAAGUGGUUUAAAACCAAUAAAUUUAUCAAUAAAAACUUUAACAUUC